UAAACAUGAGACGUUUUUGACUCAACACUUGUGUCCAUUUGGGCGGUUGACUAUUUGAUAUAACAGAGGAAAAGCUGUGAGCAUCUGUCACUCACGUUGCUUGUGUUUAGGAGAGCUGAAUAAUUGGGUGAGGAGUACAGCUGUAAAAUAUGGUACCAGUCCAAGAUGGGGCAUCCACACAAGGGGAAAACCUACUUCUUCCUCCUAAAGAGACCCACAUUGAGAGUUCAGGGUCGACUCGGAUCCGACAGAGGCAGUCCUCACCCGCACGGAGAAUGGGCAUGACCAGAAAACUGAACAGAAAGG